rnacentral:lncRNA from 1 species
AAACGACGUCGUUUUGGGGUUAAAAGGCAGCCCCCAAAACGACGUCGUUUUGGGAGGCUAUAAAAGGCCAAGUUCUUUCAAAAAAAAUUCAUUUGAGCUGCUGGAGAAGAAAGAAAAAAAAAAAGGGAAGAGAGGGGAAGGGGGCGAUUCCCGGCCACAGGGCCGGUCACCGUUCGGUCGCCGGACUGCCGUCACCGGCCACCGUGGAGUUUCAAAAAAAAGGUAAAUUUUUUUAUAAUUUUUUUUUAUUUUUGUGUGACUAUAUAUAUAUAUGCUGUUUUUAAUAAAUAAAAAAAAUAAAUAAAAUAGAUGUACGUGUAUUCGGAAGGAAAAGAAAAGAAAAAUAAACAAAAGGGUGAGACCUUUGCACGAUAGAUCUCUUCGUUUGCUUGCUAUAUUUAUUUGAAUCUGCUUCUUUUCUUUGCAUUCGAAAAAAAAAGGUGUCUUUUACAUUGUAUGUUUGGCUUAUAUAUUAGUUUACACUGCUCCUUUUCUUGCUUUCUGUCUUUUCUCGUUUAAUGCUUGUAGGUGAGUGACGGUGCAACUUCGAGGAUGGUGGGGCGGUACUGAGGCGUCGUCAGAGGCGUCAGAGGGCAAGUGGUUUAGGGUUUCAGAGUCUAACACCCUAAAUUUAGGCCAAUUGGACUGGUUUGGGGUUUGGGGUUAGAAAAUGAGUUUUGGGCUAGGGUUGUCGGGUUUUGGGCCCGGUCAAAUUUAGACCGGUACAAUACGUAAAUAUUUUAUACAUGGGCAAUGUAAUUUUUUUAUAUUUUUAAUAUUUUAAUAAAUUUCUAUAGAUAUUUGUGAACCUUUUGUUUUGAUAGUGUAACAAAUAAUUUUUAAUAAAAUAUAUAUAGUUUGUUUCUGAGAGACAUUUGAGGCGUAGUUUUGAGAGAGAGUUGUCCCUCACUCAAAAACUAUGGAUUGCAGUGUAACAAAUCCUUUCUUUUUUUUGGGGGGGGGGGUUAUGAAGAAAAGGGUGAGAAUCUCUUAUAAAAGUGAUAUUCUUUGUGGUCUCAUAAAUGUGGUUUUGUCAUUCAUAGAUCUUAUUUUAUCUCUCACAACAGAUUGUUUGAUGUUUUUUCGGGUGAGUUUUGAGUCCAUUCAUUCUUCCAAUAUUUCUAAAGCUAUCCUUUAUCAUGGCAGCAACUCUGUUGAGGGGGAAAAAAAUGUCAAGUUCGACAAUUGUGCAACCACUCCAGUCUAAGUUGGACAGGCCCGGGUCCUCAGGGGAAACACAAUCUCAGUUCAAGCUUACAGAAUAGAUCCUGUCAAAGUUAAGUCGUACCCUUCGUUUACGCAUUUUUGCCUUAUAUAUAAUCUGUAUCUUUGUUGCUCUUCCGUGAGGGAUGUUGUCGAUGAGGAAAUCAAUGUCUUCACUUGGGUCCUUGCUAGAUUUCAGAUUGUAAAUUUGAACCUGUCUUUUGCUUAUUAUUUAGAACAAAAAGUCAAAUUCCCAGCACUUUGUUUGUGCUCCAUUGGAACACCGAUUGGUUAAUUUGUUUAUAUAAUAAAAAACUUACCCCACCCCACCACUAGGACAACAUUUCUGCUGC